rnacentral:rRNA from 1 species
AUGGGUGAAGUGCCAGUGUUUUUGCAGGGGCCCCAUGACGCCGGCCACCGUUGCCACCUAUUUUUGAAUCCAAAUACUAAGCAUGAUUAUCGGCCUUUCAGAGUUCGAAUCAUAAAAAAAACAUGGCCAUUACACAAUUCUUUCCUUGCUCACCUUGACGCAUAUGGACUACAAGGGUUUGUUAGGCUCAUAUCGAGCGAAGACCCUUCCCAGUUACGUUUGGACCCAUCCCUUUUGACAUCCCUCGUUGACCGGUGGAGACCUGAAACCCACACCUUUCACUUUCGUUUUGGGGAGCUUGCACCUACACUGAAAGAUGUUUCUAUGAUCACUGCUCUACCAAUUAGAGGUGAGCCGUUAGUCUCUCCACGAGUGUCUCCAUCUUGGCCAUUAGAUAUAGCAGCCCAUCUUGGGAUGGAAAUGCCAGAAUCACAACGUACUGGUGGCCCUCGGGGCAUCCCACUCGUCUGGCUUCGUGAUAACUUUCGUUUUUUAUCUAGCUUCACCAAUAAGGAGACGAGAAAAAGACAUCUGUUUGCGUAUUUGUUGUGGCUCCUCGGGACUCUAUUUCCAAAUUCACAUGGGGACAUAGUUCUCCCUGGUCUCAUCUACAUUGCAUAG